UACGAAUUACAUAGUGUAUCUGGUAGCCUUGCCUGAAUUUCUUUGGGAAUUCAGUGAAGCGACGAUGUAACACCAGAUUAUUUUUGCAGUACUUCUUAUCUGGUGCAUACCAGAAACAGGUGCAGGUGGGCAGUUCGGCUGGGGCGGCACCCCUUUGAAAAGAUAUCAAAGGGGCCCAAAGUUUAGUUCAAACGGGUCAGAAAUCCGUUGAAGAGGGCAAAGCCAAAAACUAGACUGACAGGAUUUCCAAACGCACGGAAUUCUGAGACGAAAGUCUGGCUUAGCGAUCCUUCGUGUGCCCACUAUUGGGGCCCGGAGGUGACAGAAAAAUUACCCCAGGGAUAACAGGCUCGUCGCGGGCGAGAGCUCCUAUCGACCCCGCGGUUUGGUACCUCGAUGUCGGCUUUUCCUAUCCUGGUCCUGCAGCAGGGGCCAAGGGUGAGGCUGCUCGCCUAUUAAAAGGAAACAUGAGCUGGGUUUAGACCGUCGUGAGACAGGUCGGUCUCUGCCUGAUGGAAGCGCGGCUGUCUGAGGGGAAGUUGCUCCGAGUACGAGAGGAACAGAGCAACGUGGCCACUGGUCUACCGGCUGUCUGAUAAGGCAGGCCGGGCAGCUAAGCCGUUUGGAUUAAGUNNNNNNNNNNAGCAUCUAAGCACGAAACCCAUCCCGAGACAAGACAGCCUUUCGUAAGAUGAAGGUUCGCAGAAGAAGACUGCGUUGAUAGGAUGGAUGUGUAGAUCACAAGCUUCGGCGAGUGAUGAGCAUGCCAUUACUAAUAGACCAACACAUCAGCACG
rnacentral:rRNA from 1 species